CGGGCUGCUGCUCCAGUGAGGAAUACUGCACAAUGGGGGGAACCCUGAUGCAGCAACGCCGCGUGGAGGAUGACGCAUUUCGGUGUGUAAACUCCUUUUAUAUGUCAAGAAAAUGACGGUAGCAUAUGAAUAAGCACCGGCUAACUCCGUGCCAGCAGCCGCGGUAAUACGGAGGGUGCAAGCGUUACUCGGAAUCACUGGGCGUAAAGGACGCGUAGGCGGGUUGGAAAGUCAGGUGCGAAAUCCUACAGCUUAACUGUAGAACUGCACUUGAAACUUCUAAUCUAGAGUAUGGGAGGGGGAGAUGGAAUUAGUGGUGUAGGGGUAAAAUCCGUAGAUAUCACUAGGAAUACCUAAAGCGAAGGCGAUCUCCUGGAACAUUACUGACGCUAAGGCGUGAAAGCGUGGGGAGCAAACAGGAUUAGAUACCCGAGUAGUC
rnacentral:rRNA from 1 species